CUGGCCUACACUGAGAAAAGCCACUGACCCCGAGAAGAAUGCGCUACUCCUAAAACCAUGCCCUCUUCCCACUGCAGGCAAUAAUGAUCUCAUGAUAGCCAGCCUCCUGAUUCCUGGACCAGAGCAUCAGGUUCAGUGUUUGUCACAGAAUAUGUUAUGUAACUGUGGGUCCUCAUCCUAUCAACUGGCGGUGUGUUUCUCCAAGUCUAUCACAAAAAGCCUUGAGGAUUAAUGAGAACCUGUUCUCCAGCUUCAUGCUCCUCAGAAAAGAUGACCUUGAUAUAGAA